AGUUGCCCUCCUUCUUUCCUUCCUCCCUCCCUUCCCUUCCCCUUCCUUCCUUCCUUCCUUCCUUCCUUCCUUCCUUCCUUCCUUCCUUCCUUCCCUCUCCUUCCUCCCUCCCUUCCUUCCUUUUUUCCUUACUUCUUUUCUUCCUUCCUUCCUCCUUCCUUCCUUCUUCCUUCCUUCCUUCCUUCCUUCCUUCCUCCUUCCUUCCUUCCUUCUUCCUUCCUUCCUUCCUUCCUUCUUCCUUCUUCCUUCCUUCUUCCUUCCUCCUUCCCUUCCUUCUUCCUUCCUUCCUUCCUUCCUUCCUUCCUUCCUUCCCUCUCCUUCCCUCCCUCCCUUCCUUCCGUCUUUCUCCUUCCCUCCCUCCCCUCCUUCCCUCCUUCUUUCCCUCCCUCCCUCCCCCUUCCUUCUCCCUCCCUUCCUUCCUUUUUUCCUUACUUCUUUUCUUCCUUCCUUCCUUCUUUCCUUCCUUCCUUCUUCCUUCCUUCCUCCUUCCUUCCUUCCUUCCUUCCGUCCUUCCUUCCUUCCUCCUUCCUUCCUUCCUUCCUUCCGUCCUUCCUUCCUUCUUCCUUCCUUCCCUCUCCUUCCUCCCUCCCCUCCUUCCUCCUUCUUUCCCUCCCUCCCCUCCUUCCUUCCUUCCUUCUCCCUCCCUUCCUUCCUUUUUUCCUUACUUCUUUUCUUCCUUCCUUCUUUCCUUCCUUCCUUCUUCCUCCCUCCCUUCCUUCUUCCUUCCUUCCUUCCUUCCUUCCUUCCUUCCCUCUCCUUCCUUCCUUCCUUCCUUCCUUCUCCCUCCCUCCUUCCCUACCUUCCUCCCUUCCUUUCUUUUUUUCUCUCAACAGAUAUCCAUUAGCUAAUAGUUUAGGUUUUGAGAAUACUGAAUUGAACAUGAGAGACACAGCCCUACCUUCAUGGAACUCAUAUUCUAAGUGGGGGAGACAAAAACAAAUGAAAAAUUCAAAUAGCGAGAGGUGCUCUGAGUAUAAUAAAGCAGGACGAGGGGUUAGAGAGUGA
rnacentral:lncRNA from 1 species